rnacentral:RNase_MRP_RNA from 1 species
AAGGGCUUUCGAAUCAUGUGCCUGCUGCGGUUGAGCCCGAUCACGCCCUU